UCUCCUCUCUCUCUCUCUCAACGUCCUUCUUCGUUCAUCGUCUCUGUUUUCUGGAGUUUGAUCAUCUCUGUCAAAGUACUCUUAAGAGAGCAACAUCGAUUCUGUUAAUGUGAUGUGAUGUCUAAUUGAGAUUCUACAUGAUUGUUAGACAUGUUACAGGAGUGCUGAUUUCUAUAUCUUCUGAAGAUUCAGGAGAGAGCUGCGGUUUUCAAAUUUAACUGCAAUGACUUUGAGAAAGUGGCCAAAACUCCACUCGGACUAGAUGAUGAUGAUGAUGAUUGUUAUCUGCGCAUAGCGAUCCAAAGUAUGUGAUAAAAGGAUUCAAGAACCAAUUCGCCUGCGAUUAUCUGCUUACACCAAUUCGAAUUGAGGAGUUCAAGAACAUAUCUCUCUAAUUUGGCUACUUAAGGCCAGAACAGUGUAGCAGCUUGAGGAUUUAUAUCAACCCGAACUGUGUUUAUCUUACUCUCUGAUCUUCUUUGCAAGAGUUCAUUUCUCCAUGGUUGUGCACCAGGUAUUUUAAUUUGCAGCAGAGGCCACAGGUUCUCUCGGAUUAGUACUCUCUAACUAUUGCUGGGUGAAAUCAAGAGAAGUGAUCUUUGAACUGCAAACGACUCUGUAGUCAGAAUACAAAGAAGGGCUCAACAUUGUAGAUGACUGGCUAUAGGGAAGCAUACAGCAAAAGGAAUAUAUGAGUGUCAGGACAUUAGGUUUUGCUAUUGGCGCCGAGGAGAGACUUAGCUGCUUGAACGAAUAUCUCUUUAAAGUGGCUGCAGCAGCGUUUGUCUGCAGUGUUAUUCCUUGAGCUUACCAUGUUGCACUCUUUUGUUUACUCCCAACCUUUAUUAUUCAUUAAUGUUUUGAAGGGUGGUGUCAGAAGACUUUACUUGUUGGAGAUUUUCAAUAGAGAUGGAAUGGGGAUUAUGGUAGCAAGGUAUAUAUACUUGAGAUGUUUUUUUCUGGUGGCAACAAGUACUGCAGACUGAUUUUGUGAGACACUGGUUUCAAGAGGCUCCAAUCAAGCUAAUACCCGAGGCAAGACGGGAAAUAGCAGGAUUUCAGUUGUUCGGACAUUUCAAUACCUUUGCAAAUGCGAUGGGGAAACCGGCAGCAAAAGGAAUCAAAUGAUGACAUAAACUUAUUGAGACAAGGUGUGCACAAAAACAGAAUAAUGCAACAGAUAAUUAGGUGUGUACAAUAGUCGUCACUUCAAUACAUUUACGAUCAUCACUGAUGUAUCUCAUUAAGCACCAGAAAAAGAGGUCUAGGCAAAAUGGCUUUGCAAGCAAUGGUUGGACUUCUUAAAACGAUAUCUUUUGAAGAAUUCUUGUAGUUGAUAUCAAGAGAUUAAACGAAGAUGGGCUUCAAAUGGAGAAGUGACAUAACUCUCUCUCUCUCUCUAAUCAGCAAGCUCAGCAAAAAGAGGCAAACGAUAUUGAUUCUCUGCAGAUAAUUGAACUUAAUUUGCUUAGAUGAUACAGGGUAUUUUGCAGCUGCGGCCAAAGCUUUUCUCGGAUUAGUACUCUCCCAACUAUUGCUAGGUGAAAUCAAGAGGAGGGCUCAAGUGAAGUACUUUCUCUCAUUUCUCAAAUCUUUAACUUCAUACAUAAUACAAUACAAACCUCAAACACAAAAACCUCACGUCCAGAGAACACUAAAACACCACGAAAAUACAAUACAAACCUCACGUGCAGAGAACAGAACUCAAAUAUGCAAAACAAAAAAACACAAACAUAACACUCAAAACAAAACAAAACCUUCACGAUCAAAAAAUAAAAUUCGUAGAACUGUGGUGUCAAGGUUCAUAUUUCCUCUUUCCAAAGCAAGCAUUAGCGCAAAACAAGCUAAAGGAAAAUACGAGUGUCAGUGAAAUUAGUUUUUGCUAUUGAUGGUGAGGGGAGACUUAGCCAUUAUAUAGGAUAUCUCUCUGAACUGGCUGCAGCUGGGUUCGUCUGUAGGUUAAAUAUUUGAAGGAACCUGAGAGGCCAAAGAGGAAGAUCUUUCUGGAAUUAGAAAAGUAAUAAAACGUUUGGAUGAAUUUGGAGCGUUACUUCUGAAACUUGUGAGAAGCUUAGCCUGAGGUUCCACUUUUCAUUGUUUACAUGUUUGGCUAAUAUGAGCUUAACGGUGAUUAAUUUGUGGUUGCUAAUCAUUUUUUCGUUAUUCUCAAGCUUAACUGCUCUAAGAGAUUUGGAAAUCA